rnacentral:rRNA from 1 species
GCCUAAAGCGUCCGUAGCCGGCUUUGUAAGUUUUCGGUUAAAUCUAUAUGCUCAACAUAUAGGCUGCCGGAAAUACUGUAAAGCUAGGGAGUGGGAGAGGUAGACGGUACUCCGUAGGAAGGGGUAAAAUCCUUUGAUCUAUGGAUGACCACCAGUGGCGAAGGCGGUCUACCAGAACACGUUCGACGGUGAGGGAUGAAAGCUGGGGGAGCAAACCGGAUUAGAUACCCGGGUAGUCCCAGCUGUAAACUAUGCAAACUCAGUGAUGCAUUGGCUUGUGGCCAGUGCAGUGCCGCAGAGAAGUCGUUAAGUUUGCCGCCUGGGAAGUACGUACGCAAGUAUGAAACUUAAAGGAAUUGGCGGGGGAGCACCACAAGGGGUGAAGCCUGCGGUUCAAUUGGAGUCAACGCCAGAAAUCUUACCCGGAGAGACAGCAGAAUGAAGGUCAAGUUGAAGCCUUUACCAGACAAGCUGAGAAGUGGUGCAUGGCCGUCGCCAGCUCGUGCCGUGAGGUGUCCUGUUAAGUCAGGUAACGAGCGAGAUCCUUGCCUCUAGUUGCCACCAUUACUCUCAGGAGUAGUGGGGCGAAUUAGCGGGACUGCCGUAGUUAAUACGGAGGAAGGAGAGGGCCACGGCAGGUCAGUAUGCCCCGAA